GGAGCUGUGCCUGAAUAAAGGGUCACUUUGAUAGAGUGAAUCAUGGGGGCUAAAUACCUCUCAUCUCCU
rnacentral:tRNA from 1 species